AAUGUCGUAACAAGGUUUCCGUAGGUGAACCUGCGGAAGGAUCAUUACGAAAACAUCGCCCUCCGGGGUGACUCUCCAAACCCCCUUGUUAAUAUACCUUGUUGCUUUGGCGAGCCGCUUCGCCACCGGGCUCACGCUGGUGAGUGCUCGCCAGAGGACCCCAAAUUCUGAAUAUUAGUGUCGUCUGAGUACUAUAUAAUAGUUAAAAC
rnacentral:misc_RNA from 1 species